rnacentral:rRNA from 1 species
AGUGAACGCUGGCGGUAGGCCUAACACAUGCGAGUCGAACGGCAGCACAGUAAGAGCUUGCUCUUACGGGUGGCGAGUGGCGGACGGGUGAGGAAUACAUCGGAAUCUACUUUUUCGUGGGUGAUAACGUAGGGAAACUUACGCUAAUACCGCAUACGACCUACGGGUGAAAGCAGGGGAUCUUCGGACCUUGCGCGAUUGAAUGAGCCGAUGUCGGAUUAGCUAGUUGGCGGGGUAAAGGCCCACCAAGGCGACGAUCCGUAGCUGGUCUGAGAGGAUGAUCAGCCACACUGGAACUGAGACACGGUCCAGACUCCUACGGGAGGCAGCAGUGGGGAAUAUUGGACAAUGGGCGAAAGCCUGAUCCAGCCAUGCCGCGUGGGUGAAGAAGGCCUUCGGAUUGUAAAGCACUUUUGUUGGGGAAGAAAAGCAGCAGGUUAAUACCUCGCUGUUCUGACGGUACCAAAAGAAUAAGCACCGGCUAACUUCGUG